UACAGAGGGUGCGAGCGUUGUUCGGAAUUACUGGGCGUAAAGCGCGCGCAGGCGGCUCUUUAAGUCUGACGGUGAAAUGCCGGGGCUCAACCCCGUGCCCGCCGCGGAUACUGGAGGGCUGGAGACACGUAGAGGCAAGCGGAAUUCCGGGUGUAGCGGUGGAAUGCGUAGAGAUCCGGAAGAACACCGGUGGCGAAGGCGGCUCACUGGCUCAUAUCUGACGCUCAGGCGCGACAGCGUGGGGAUCAAACAGG
rnacentral:rRNA from 1 species